rnacentral:miRNA from 1 species
UUUGAAAUUGAACAAAUGGUA